AUUAGCUACCAGCUAACUUCUGCCUGGCAGCCAACAGCGGCAGGUUUUUGUACACACACAAAAACAAUUAAUGACUAACUGUUCAGAAAAACAUUGUAAUUGAAUCUGUUUUUAAAGAAUUUCGUGUACCCUUGCAAAACUGACGCACGUGCGAGGGAAAUAUUUCUUACAUGCCCUCUUGUUAGUAGAUUACAACUGGUGCGAGCUCGGUUGUUGGUAGUUUAAUAUUUUUGUGACACAAUAUCGUUGCGUGACAUCGUUGCGUGUAUUUAUUAUCUAGCUGCGUAAACAAUGCUCUACUAAACUGGGAGGAGCGCUAAUUCAGAAUGUCAGACUCCGACAGUGAUGAGGAUCAAGAUCGCCCUUUCUCAAUUACUGGCUUCCUAUUUGGGAACAUAAAUGAAGAUGGUCAGCUGGAAGAUGACAGCGUUCUGGACAAUGAGUCCAAAAAGCAUCUGGCUGGCUUAGGAAAUUUAGGUCUGGGGUCCCUCAUCACAGAGAUCACAGCCAAUGAGGAUGGUGAGCAAGAGGAAGGUAAAAACUCCACUAGUGUGGAUGCUGAGGGUUGGGUGAAAAGCACUGAAGAUGCGGUCGAUUAUUCUGACAUCAGUGAGGUUGCUGAGGAUGAAACAAAGAGGUACCGCCAGGCCAUGGGGUCUUUGCAGCCAUGCAGGAAACCAGAUGAUGACGACGACUACGAUGCAGAUUGUGAGGAUAUUGAUUCAAAGCUCAUGCCCCCUCCGCCACCGCCAAGCGUUGCAACAGCUGUUAAGAAAGAGGAGCCGACUUCCCAGAGCACAAAUGUCGGAGAAGAAGGUGAUGGCAUCAUCCUGCCGUCCAUCAUCGCGCCGUCCUCUACUGCCGAUAAGGUUGACUUCAGCAGUUCCUCGGACUCUGAGUCAGAAACAGACCGCCCCUGCCAGGUUUCUGGUGCUGGAGGCUCACCAGACAGGCUCAACCUUCCGCUCGCGGGCAUCAUGCAGAAAGAUGCUGCCAAAACACUUCCAAGUGUGACAGAGCUCUUCCCAGAGUUUCGACCCGGAAAGGUGCUGAGGUUCUUAAGGCUGUUUGGCCCAGGGAAGAACAUGCCAUCAGUUUGGAGGAGUGCCCGCAGGAAGAAAAAGCGGAAGCAUCGGGAUGUUUUGCCUGGCACACCUCCUCCUGAAGGAGAGCUCACAGAACAAGGCCAGGAUAAGAAAUCUGGUUGGGUUUACGAGUACGCGAAUCCUCCACCCCCAGAGCAGUGUCUCUCGGAUGAUGAGAUAACCAUGAUGGCUCCUGUAGAGGCUAAGCUUUCCCAAACAUGCGGUGAUGGAGACAAGGAGGCAGAAUCGCGACCUAAAGUUGCCGAAUGGAGAUAUGGGCCUGCCCAGCUUUGGUACGACAUGAUUGGGGUCCCUGAGGAUGGAAGUAAUUUUAAUUAUGGGUUGAAGCUGAAGGAAAAGGAGUCCAGUGAGCCGAUGGAACAGAACACAACUGCAGAAGCAACAGACCACGCUCAGGACGAUGUGAGGUGGUGUGAUGAUCCUGAUAGCCACAAUAAUGAGGGAGACAAGGAGAAAUCCACCCUGGAGAACGAGCUCUUCUUGAUGGUCACUCAACUGCAGUGGGAAGACGACAUUAUUUGGAAUGGGGAGGAUGUAAAACACAAGGGCACCAAGACUCAGCGUGCCAGUCUUGCAGGGUGGUUGCCCUCAAGCAUGACCCGCAAUGCCAAUGCUUACAAUGCACAGCAGGGUCUGACGAGAAGUAAUUCCCAGUUGGUGCCACCUACACCGCCUCCCAUGCUCAAAGCUUUGUCAAUAACUGGCAUGAAGCACAAACACAGCCAUGAUCAUCAUGCCAAUCACGAAGAAGAUGCGCCGUGGUUUUCUAUUUUUCCCAUUGACAAUGAAGAGUUGGUGUACGGGCGUUGGGAAGACAACAUAAUCUGGGAUGAUCAGGAGAUGGACCGCAUACUCACACCGCCGGUUCUUACACUCGAUCCCAAUGAUGAAAAUAUCAUUCUUGAAAUUCCGGAUGAAAAGGAAGCAACAACAUCUCAUUCCCCAUCCAAAGAGAAUAAGAAGGAAACGGCAAUCAAAAAGAGUCGCAUCCUGCUUGGGAAGACUGGGGUGAUAAAAGAUGAGCCGCAACAGAACAUGUCCCAACCUGAGGUGAAGGACCCCUGGAACCUCUCCAACGACGAGUUCUACUAUCCCAAACAGCAGGGUCUGAGGGGCACGUUCGGUGGCAACAUCAUUCAGCAUUCCAUACCAGCACUGGAGUUGAGGCAGCCGUUCUUCCCCACCCACAUGGGCCCCAUGAAGCUGCGGCAGUUCCACAGAUCGGCUUUAAAGAAGUAUUCGUUUGGACCUUUGGCUCAGCCGGGCCCGCACGCUGUCCAGCCUCUGCUCAAGCACAUAAAGAAGAAAGCCAAGAUGCGAGAGCAGGAGCGGCAGGCGGCAGGAGGAGGAGACAUGUUCUUCAUGCGCACCCCGCAGGACUUGACAGGCAAAGAUGGCGAUCUUAUCUUGGCAGAGUAUAGUGAAGAAUACCCCCCUCUCAUCAUGCAAGUUGGCAUGGCCACUAAGAUUAAAAACUACUACAAAAGGAAACCUGGAAAGGAUCCUGGUGCACCAGAUUGCAAAUAUGGAGAAACAGUAUACUGCCAUACCUCACCUUUUCUGGGCUCCCUUCAUCCUGGACAGCUGCUCCAAGCUUUUGAAAACAACCUUUUCCGCGCUCCUAUUUACCUGCACAAGAUGCCAGAGACAGACUUUCUGGUCAUCAGAACACGCCAUGGCUAUUACAUCAGAGAGAUAGUGGACAUAAUGGUGGUUGGUCAGGCAUGCCCCUUAUACGAGGUUCCAGGGCCCAACUCCAAACGAGCCAAUACCCACAUACGAGACUUCCUUCAGGUGUUCAUUUACCGUUUGUUCUGGAAGAGCAAGGAUCGUCCGCGCAGGAUCCGCAUGGAGGAUAUAAAGAAAGCAUUUCCAUCACAUUCUGAGAGCAGCAUCAGGAAGAGACUAAAACUCUGUGCUGACUUCAAACGCACAGGGAUGGACUCCAACUGGUGGGUGCUGAAGCCUGAUUUCAGACUGCCCACGGAGGAGGAGAUCCGAGCCAUGGUGUCUCCAGAGCAGUGCUGUGCUUACUAUAGCAUGCUGGUGGCUGAGCAAAGACUCAAGGACGCCGGAUAUGGUGAGAAAUCAUUCUUUGCCCCAGAGGAGGAGAACGAAGAGGACUUUCAAAUGAAGAUUGAUGAUGAGGUGCGAACAGCUCCCUGGAACACAACAAGAGCCUUCAUCUCUGCCAUGAAGGGGAAAUGCCUACUGGAGGUUACCGGUGUUGCCGACCCAACAGGCUGUGGAGAAGGUUUUUCCUACGUCAAAGUGCCCAAUAAGCCUACUCAACAGAAGGAUGAUAAAGAGCCACAGCCUGCUAAGAAGACUGUGACAGGGACAGAUGCAGAUUUGAGGAGACUCUCACUGAAGAAUGCCAAGCAACUGCUGCGCAAGUUUGGUGUGCCAGAAGAAGAAAUAAAGAAGCUCUCUCGCUGGGAAGUGAUUGAUGUCGUGAGAACCAUGUCAACCGAGCAGGCGCGUUCAGGAGAAGGCCCCAUGAGCAAGUUUGCCAGAGGUUCUCGCUUCUCCGUCGCAGAGCACCAGGAGCGGUACAAGGAAGAAUGCCAGAGGAUCUUUGACCUGCAGAACAAGGUGUUGGAGUCGACUGAAGUGCUGUCCACAGACACUGACAGCAGCUCAGCAGAGGAUAGUGACUUUGAGGAAAUGGGAAAGAACAUUGAGAACAUGCUACAGAACAAGAAGACCAGCUCACAGCUGUCACGCGAGAGAGAAGAGCAGGAAAGGAGGGAGCUGCAGAGGAUGCUGAUGGGGGAGGAGAGUGACCGAGACCAUAAGGGACGCAAAGAGCGGCGCAAAGUCUUGUCCAGUUCAUUGUCCACCAGCUCCCAUAAGGAUGAUGACACAUCAUCAGUCACCAGCCUGAACUCUGCAGCCACAGGACGGCGACUUAAGAUCUAUCGAACCUUCAGGGAUGAGGAUGGCAAGGAAUAUGUACGCUGCGAGACAGUGCGCAAGUCUGCUGUCAUCGAUGCGUACACCAGGAUCAGGACUACCAAGGAUGAUGAAUUCAUACGAAAAUUUGCCCUCUUCGACGAGCAGCACAGAGAAGAAAUGAGGAAGGAGCGGCGUCGUAUCCAGGAGCAGCUAAGGAGGCUAAAGCGAAAUCAAGAGAAGGACAAGAUUAAGGGACCACCUGAAAAGAAGACGAAGAAAAUGAAAGAGAGACCAGACCUCAAGGUAAAAUUAAAGUGCGGCGCGUGCGGAGCCAUCGGGCACAUGAGGACCAACAAGUUCUGCCCAUUGUACUAUCAGACCAACGCACCACCUUCUAACCCAGUCGCCAUGACUGAGGAGCAGGAGGAGGAGCUAGAAAAGACAGUCAUCCAUAAUGACAACGAGGAGCUGAUCAAGGUGGAGGGCACAAAGAUCGUGCUUGGCAAGCAACUCAUUGAAAGUGCUGAUGAAGUGCGCAGGAAGUCUUUGGUGCUCAAGUUCCCCAAGCAACAGCUUCCUCCGAAGAAGAAGAGACGAGUUGGCAAUGCUGUGCACUGUGAUUACCUCAACAAACCACACAAGGCAAUCCACCGCAGACGCACUGACCCGAUGGUGACCUUGUCCUCUGUGCUAGAGAGCAUCAUUAAUGACAUGCGGGACCACCCUAAUACAUACCCGUUUCACACACCAGUCAACGCCAAGGUUGUGAAGGACUACUACAAGAUUAUCACACGGCCCAUGGACCUGCAGACCCUUAGGGAGAAUGUGCGGAAGAGAAUGUACCCGUCCAGAGAGGAGUUUCGAGAAGCAGUAGAGCUCAUCUACAAGAACAGCGCCACAUACAAUGGAGCGAAACAUCCAAUCACACAAGUGGCACAGUCAAUGCUGGACCUCUGUGAUGCUAAACUGAAAGAGAAGGAGGACAGGCUGGUUAGGCUUGAAAAAGCCAUCAAUCCAUUGCUAGAUGAUGAUGAUCAAGUAGCUUUCUCGUUCAUUCUGGACAAUAUUGUUACCCAGAAGAUGAUGGUUGUUCCUGAUUCAUGGCCAUUCCAUCAUCCAGUCAACAAAAAGUUUGUACCAGAUUAUUACAAGGUGAUUAUAGACCCCAUGGACCUGGAGACCAUUCGCAAGAACAUCUCCAAACACAAAUACCAGAACAGAGACGCGUUCCUUUCAGAUGUCACUCUCAUACACGCCAACAGCAUCAAGUACAACGGCCGCGACAGUCCGUACACAAAGACAGCACUUGACAUUGUCAACGUGUGCAGACAGACCUUGGAGGAGUAUGACGAGCACUUGACCCAGCUUGAAAAGGACAUCUCCACGGCCAAAGAGGCUGCUCUGGAUGCCGUAGACUUUGACAGUCUAGACAUGACCCAUGCAUCAUACAUACCACAGUAUGAUGAGUUGGAUAAGGACAUCUCCACAGCCAAGGGGUCAUUCAUGGACUUACAGAGGCUGAGUGCAGCAUCGUCGCCAUACAUAACGCAGGCUCGCCACAGCAGAAGGAACAGGGAAGAAGAGUCAGAUGUGGAUAUUGAAGGCUUUGAGGAGGAAGAUGAUGGCAAACCUAAAACGCCUGCUCCUGCAGAGGAUGCGGAAGGAGAUUUAGAAGACGACGACGAUGACGACGAGCUGUUGCUCCCUCCUCGCAGACGCAUGCACAACCGCCAGGAGGAUGACGACCGCAGAUCCAAUCCACUCACUCAUGCCAGCGUGUUAUAUCAGGACUUGCUCAUGUCGGACGGAGAGGACGAUGCCAGCGAGGAGGAGGGGGACAAUCCAUUCUCAUCCAUUCAUUUGUCAGAGAGUGGCAGCGACUCUGAUAGAGAGGUCGAGGUGCGACCUCCACCCCCACCACGGCGAGCCCAGGACACGGCGCGAAUGGGCAUGGAGCAGGACGAGAGCAUGAUGUCAUAUGAAGGGGACGGGGCUGAUGACGGGCCCCACAUGGAAGACAGCAACAUCAGUUAUGGCAGCUUUGAGGAGACAGAGAGCCGCAGUCAGAUGCAGCCCUUGAGCCGAGGAAACGCAGAUGACGAUGGUAUCAGCGAGGAGGAGGAGGAAGACGAGGAGGAUGACGCACGGCGGAGAGCCCCAGCUCCACAUUCUCAGCUAUGGCAGCUACGAGCAGACAGACAAGACGACGGCAACAGUGAGGAGGAGGAGGAUGACGAAGAGGAAGACGCACAGAGGAGAGGCCCCGCCGUGCUCUCUCAGGUUCAGCUCAGUGAGGAUGAGGAGAGCGAAGAGUUCAGAUCCAUCGGGGGAGACAGCGACAUGGACUCGGACUAGACUCAAGGAAACUUCUUUGAAAGCCUCAUUUUAGAAUACAGACAUUUGAGAUGUCAUGUGAAUUUAAUUGUACAUUUUAUGUUUCAGAGCUUCCUGCAAUAUUAGCUCUCCCAUUCUACAUCACACCCUUUCAACAGUAGGCCAACCAUCAUGCGUAAAACACAGGAGUGAACAUGUUGUGUAUUACUAUGGUCAUCAUAUGAGGCGUGGAUGUUGAGAGUGGUGUGACUUUUGGGACUCAUCAUCAGUAGUGUACCUGAGCCUGUGUCCCAUGCCCAAUCAUGAGUAGUUGCUGAAGGGUGGAGGGGGUGUAGUGAGAUCCCGACCUGGAACCAAACACUGCCCCACUGGACCGGGUCAUCACUCAACCCUACCCCCCACCUUGUCGUCUUUAGAUAAGGGCAGAAAGGGGGGUAGGUUUCAAACUUCACUGGGGUCGUCAGGUGGGCACCCUCCUUCAAUGGUGUUUCAAUGUAGACCUACUGAUAGGCUUACGGGCAACACUUGGAGUCCCAGGUUGAGCCCAGCAACGGUCCUUGCGCUUGAUCCAUAGCCACCAGCUACUUCUUCCGGCUGCUUCAGAGACUGAUCUUAAUUGUCUGUCGAAGAGUCUGUCCAUGAAUGCCAAGGUCUUUCAAGAGCCUGAUGGUAGAAGAAGCCACAAAACCUCUGCAUCAUCCUACUUCAGCUGGAUAGACCUUGGCCUUCCAUCUUCGUGCAUCUGCUGCCAGGUCUGUGGAGCGCAGUUUCUUUCGUUCGUAGGCCUCUUCGGUGGAAUCCUCAAGGGACCGUGAGCUCUAUGACCACGCCUUCCCACCUCAUCCAUCGUCCCUGCUUGGCUAGAGAGACUUUCAGCCUCCUCCUGACGGCGCACCUCCUCUACAACCAUUUUCUUCAUUUGGGAAGCUGAAGCUUUGCAUCAGAGUGGGGAAGCCUGCAGGGGCUGAGCGACUGAGACCUUUGCACUUCCCUCAUGGCUGUCUUCUGCACUGGCAAGCGUUUCUCAGAGUGUGACGCUGAUGAGUCCUUGGAGUUCAUUGGUGCUGCCGGAAGCGAUGAAGACUUGCAAGUACGCCCCAUUCUGGAAGAGGAGACACCUAAGACCCCACCGUUGUUUAGUGUUGCACUCCAUUAAUCUAUUGAUAA